GGUUGUGAAGGUGAUCUGGAUGCAACAUUGUCACCCCAUUGAUCACCACUCCACAUGUGUCCCUCCUGAAGCUGCAUGCUUUGUUCAAAAGGAUGACCAUCCCCAAUAGAGGAGAACCGUUCUUUUGUCAAGGUUGUAGGAGUAGCUGUGCUUCCCUGCUAGAACCUCCAAACAAGCUCUCAAGAAUUACUCUUUUUAAAGUAGCACUCAUAGAUCAAGCAUUUUAUAUAUUUUACCUGAUUACCCAAGUCAUAGUCAUCCUUU
ensembl:misc_RNA 7SK 7SK RNA